rnacentral:rRNA from 1 species
AUUGAACGCUGGCGGCAGGCCUAACACAUGCAAGUCGAGCGGAUGACGGGAGCUUGCUCCUUGAUUCAGCGGCGGACGGGUGAGUAAUGCCUAGGAAUCUGCCUGGUAGUGGGGGACAACGUUCCGAAAGGGGCGCUAAUACCGCAUACGUCCUACGGGAGAAAGUGGGGGAUCUUCGGACCUCACGCUAUCAGAUGAGCCUAGGUCGGAUUAGCUAGUUGGUGAGGUAAAGGCUCACCAAGGCGACGAUCCGUAACUGGUCUGAGAGGAUGAUCAGUCACACUGGAACUGAGACACGGUCCAGACUCCUACGGGAGGCAGCAGUGGGGAAUAUUGGACAAUGGGCGAAAGCCUGAUCCAGCCAUGCCGCGUGUGUGAAGAAGGUCUUCGGAUUGUAAAGCACUUUAAGUUGGGAGGAAGGGCAGUAAGUUAAUACCUUGCUGUUUUGACGUUACCGACAGAAUAAGCACCGGCUAACUCUGUGCCAGCCGCCGCGGUAACAC